AGUGAACGCUGGCGGUAGGCCUAACACAUGCAAGUCGAACGGCAGCACAGUAAGAGCUUGCUCUUACGGGUGGCGAGUGGCGGACGGGUGAGGAAUACAUCGGAAUCUACUUUUUCGUGGGGGAUAACGUAGGGAAACUUACGCUAAUACCGCAUACGACCUACGGGUGAAAGCAGGGGAUCUUCGGACCUUGCGCGAUUGAAUGAGCCGAUGUCGGAUUAGCUAGUUGGCGGGGUAAAGGCCCACCAAGGCGACGAUCCGUAGCUGGUCUGAGAGGAUGAUCAGCCACACUGGAACUGAGACACGGUCCAGACUCCUACGGGAGGCAGCAGUGGGGAAUAUUGGACAAUGGGCGCAAGCCUGAUCCAGCCAUACCGCGUGGGUGAAGAAGGCCUUCGGGUUGUAAAGCCCUUUUGUUGGGAAAGAAAAGCAGCAGGUGAAUACCCCGCUGUUCUGACGGUACCCAAGGAAUAAGCACCGGCUAACUUCGUG
rnacentral:rRNA from 1 species